rnacentral:rRNA from 1 species
GAUGAACGCUGGCGGCGUGCCUAAUACAUGCAAGUCGAGCGAACAGAUGAGGAGCUUGCUCCUCUGACGUUAGCGGCGGACGGGUGAGUAACACGUGGAUAACCUACCUAUAAGACUGGGAUAACUACGGGAAACCGGAGCUAAUACCGGAUAAUAUAUUGAACCGCAUGGUUCAAUAGUGAAAGACGGUUUUGCUGUCACUUAUAGAUGGAUCCGCGCCGCAUUAGCUAGUUGGUAAGGUAACGGCUUACCAAGGCAACGAUGCGUAGCCGACCUGAGAGGGGGAUCGGCCACACUGGAACUGAGACACGGUCCAGACUCCUACGGGAGGCAGCAGUAGGGAAUCUUCCGCAAUGGGCGAAAGCCUGACGGAGCAACGCGGCGUGAGUGAGGAAGGUCUUCGGAUCGUAAAACUCUGUUAUUAGGGAAGAACAAAUGUGUAAGUAACUAUGCACGUCUUGACGGUACCUAAUCAGAAAGCCACGGCUAACUACGUG